AUUUUCAGUUGGUUAUUAAUCGCUACAAGAAAACCCUAAUCGAGAAUCAAAUAAUGGCCGCACCUAACGCAACAAAAAACCCAAUCCAUAAUCAAAUUAUGGCCGCGCCUCAUCUUGCCAAACAAGAUCUGCUCCGUCGCGUUCGCUUCACCGUCAGAGAAGUUGCGCUGCUCCCCCGACUAUGGUGCCGCGCCGCCAUCAUUCCACCGUCGCCGAACGCGCUAAAUCUCAGGUGCGGUGAUUAAUCCUGGAGUAACGUCUGAGCAGUUGCGCCGCUCCCCCAACUAUGGUGUCGCGCUGUCAUCAGUCCGCUAACAUCAAACGACGAACCUAACUCUCUCAACAACAAGCGCUGUGAUCUUUUGGAGGAUGAACCUGAGAAGGAUAAAGAAGAUAAAGAAGACGGGAAAAUUCGGAUGAUGUGAAGGAUGAUGUGAAGGAUGAUGUGAAGGAUGAUGUGAAGGAUGAUGUGAAGAAGUUGUGGGGGAUGGGACUUUUUCUUGAAUGGAUUAGGAUAAUGGUGAAGAUUCGACUGUCCAUUUUGGUGCAUGAGGCAUGGAAAUCUUUCAAAAAAAAAAUAAUCUUGAGUUUAUCGACAAGCACAAUGCUAAAAACCGGACAUAUAAGGUUGGUUUGAACCGGUUCGCUGAUCUUAGCAAGGAGGAGUUCGGUCCAUAUAUCUUGGAUUAAAGACUGACCCAAAUCGGUUGGCUAAGACGAAGAGCAACUGUUGUGCAAGUGUUGGUGAUAACUUGCCUGAAUCUGUUGAUGGGAGGAAACAAGGUGGUGAUGUGGCCCAAGUCAAGGAGCAAUGAGGUUGUGGUAAGUAACUUCUACUUAUAUACUCCAAUGAUGUUACUACUAACUUCUACUUCAAUACUCCAAUGAUCUUACUACUAACUUCUACUUCAAUACUCCAAUGAUACUACAACUGUCUUAACUAUUUAUUGUCUUGUACUUUUAUUUUAAAUAUGUUAUUAUUUGUUUUUAGUUUUUCUAUUUUAUUUUGAGUCUAAAAUUAUUUAAUUUGGGCUUAUCAACCACCAAACAUUUGAGAAUGAUUAGCUUUUUUGAACUUCCUCUUCGGUGACAAAAAUAAUUACGAUAAUAAUUAAACAAGAUGAGCAUAGCAACUCUAUCUUCAAAACUCAAUAUAAUCAAUCUAUUCAAGAACAAGUUACAUUCAUAUCAGUUAAACAAUAACAGAAGGAACACACAAAGGUUGAAAAAAGGCUAAUUAUUCUCAAAUGUUUGGUGGUUGAUAAGCCCAAAUUAUCAAUCACCAAAAAUUUGAGAAUGAUUAGCCUUUUUUUCCACCGUUGUGUGUUUCUUCUGUUAUUGUUUAACCGAUAUGAAUGUAAUUGUUCUUGAAUAGAUUGAUUAUAUUGAGUUUUGAAGAUAGAGUUGUUAUGCUCAUCUUGUUUAAUUAUUAUCGUCAUUAUUUUUGUCUCUCACAUUUCUUAUGAGGCAUGGAAAUCUCAACAACAACUGUCUCCACCUGGGCCAACCUGAGCCAAAAGUAAAAGAGAUUUAAAAAUUUCAAAAAUAAUCUUGAGUUUAUCGACAAGCGCAAUGCUGAAAACCGGACAUAUAAGGUUGGUUUGAACCGGUUUGCUGAUCUUAGCAACAAGGAGUACCGGUCCAUAUAUCUUGGAUUAAAGACUGACCCAAAUCAGUUGGCUAAGACGAAGAGCAACUGUUGUGCUGCAAGUGUUGGUGAUAACUUGCCUGAAUCUGUUGAUGGGAGGAAACAAGGUGGUGAUGUGGCCCAAGUCAAGGACCAAUGAGGUUGUGAUAAUUCAUUGAACACCCUGAAGAAAUCAAAGGAAGAAAAACCUAUGGUUUGAUAACUCUGAUUCGAGAGAUCGGACAGAGCAAGCAUGCAUAUGUGUUGUUGUUUUAAGCUGAAAACACUCUGAACUUUCUGAUUAGAUACUUUUUAAACAAUUUGUAUUUUUUUUUGUUUAUAAAUAAAGGUUUUGAUAA